UUGGUUUAGAAUGAGUUGGACUAAUAUGAGUUAAUGAAUAACCCAAACCAAACCAAUUUCUUCUUUAAUUCCAUUAAAAAAAUUUAGAAGCAGUGACGAUCCUCUCGAAAGCUCCGACGAUCGCCUUCGGCGACCCUUUAAGCUUCGGCGGCGAUCCUCUCGAUCACCCUCUUCGGCCGCGACCCUCUCGAUCUCUUCGAUUGAUCUCGAUCUCUUCAAUUGAUCUCUACCGUUUCUCAUCUCGUCACCUGCCGUAUCUCGUCACCUAAGAGGCUCGAUCUCAUCUCCAUAUUCUCGAUUGUUAUAUUCGUUUGUCUAAAAAUGAUGAACAAUGAUGAAGAGUGUCUUCCAAGUGGUGUUGGUGGACCCAAUGGUGGACAAUCAUCAACAAGUGCAUCACAAUAUCUUCUUGGAUUAGAUGGUGAAAGAGAAGAGAGGAAGAUUGAUGAUAAAGUUGCUAGGGAAAAAUUCAGUCGAGUCAUUAUCCGACAUAAUCUUCCUUUCCUUGCGGUUGAAUAUGAGGAACUUAGGGAUUAUCUAAGUUAUUUAAACCCAGAUUAUAAGUGUUACACUAGGAACACUGCUGCAAUCGACGUGGUUAAAACUUGGGAGAAAGAGAAGCAAAAGAUAAAGUCUUUCUGAAAUGAAAUGGACAAGAGUUUUAUGUAUGAUUAAGUUGACUUUGUUUCUUUUUUUGUCUAACAGAAUUGUUUAUAUGUUUGUUGUAUUU